CCUACGGGAGACUGCAGUGGGGAAUAUUGCACAAUGGGGGGAACCCUGAUGCAGCGACGCCGCGUGGGUGAAGGAGUAUUUCGGUAUGUAAAGCCCUAUCAGCAGGGAAGAACAAUGACGGUACCUGACUAAGAAGCACCGGCUAAAUACGUGCCAGCAGCCGCGGUAAUACGUAUGGUGCAAGCGUUAUCCGGAUUUACUGGGUGUAAAGGGAGCGCAGGCGGCGCGUUAAGCCUGGUGUGAAAGCCCGCGGCCCAACCGCGGGACUGCAUUGGAAACUGGCGCGCUGGAGUGCCGGAGGGGUAGGCGGAAUUCCUAGUGUAGCGGUGAAAUGCGUAGAUAUUAGGAGGAACACCAGUGGCGAAGGCAGCUUACUAAACUGCCACUGACGUUGAUGCUCGAAAGUGUGGGUAUCAAACAGGAUUAGAUACCCUAGUAGUC
rnacentral:rRNA from 1 species